GAACUUAACUGGGGUCAAAUUGACUCUAGUAGGGAGUCCCUGCAUUCAAUAUGGCGACUUCCUAAUAGAGUCAGGCUGACUCCUUUUAAGACGUUCACCAA
rnacentral:pre_miRNA from 18 species